AUUCCAGCCGCGAGCGGCGCAGCGCCCAGGUGCAGAGCGCGAAAAGCCCAGGGAAGAAGAGGGAGCCCCAGGCCAGCGUCAGCAGCAUGGGUGCUUCGGGUCCUGCCGCCUAGCUCGGCACCGUUUGGCGUGGCUCAGAUGGAAGGGACUUUCUGGGAGGCAGACAGCAGUGAGGUUGGGAUCUGAGAACCUGAGUUCCAGUCCUGCCUCUGCUAUCCAUAAAUUGCCUGACAUGGAGCAAACAACUAAACUUUCCAUGUAAAAGAGAGUUCCUCCACCUGCCUCACAGGGCUGGGAGAGUUAGUUUUCGGCAGACACAACAUCUUUGUUUGUAUGUGGUGCUGAGGAUCGAACCCGGGCCGCACACAUGCCAGGCGAGCGUGCUACCGCUUGAGCCACAUCCCCAGCCCAAAAGGUAAAUUUUAAAAACACAACAUGCACAUAACAUUCUUUUGGUGUCAUCAUUUUUUAAAGUGUCAAGGCAUCACAUGAGUCCUUGGGAAGUAAUGCCUUUGAUUUUUCAAGGUGAUACUGUAAUAGGAUCUAACUCUGGGACGUUAAGAGUUGUAAGAACAGAGGCUGGGGUUGUGGCUCAGUGGUAGCGUGCUUGCCUAGCAUGUGUGACACACUGGGUUCGAUUCUCAGCACCACAUACAAAUAAAUAAAAUAAAGAUCCAUCAACAACUAAAAAAUAUUUUUUAAAAAGAGUUGUAAGAACAAAAGAAGACACUGGAACACAAGAGACAUUAAUGUCAGUCUCCUCACUCUACUGGCCUGCCGAUGGUGAAGACUAAGGAAAAACAUAUGGAAACAUUUAGCCAUGCACAAAGUACUAUGCAAAUCCACUGUGUUUUAUUAGCUCCUAAAAGCAUUCACUAUCAUGUACUGCGUGGAUUACUGUGUUUGUCCACUAAAUGCUAAAUUCUAAAGAUAACACAUAGAUAGGGCACAGGGGACGGAGGGGAAAGGAGGGAGGAUAGGGGUAGGAAAGAUGGUAGAAUGAGAUGGACAUCAUUACCCUAAGUACAUGUAUGAAGAACCAAAUGGUGUGACUCUACUUUGUGUACAACCAGAGACAUGAAAAAUUGUGCUGUAUAUGUGUAAUAUGAAUUGAAAUGCAUUCUGCUGUAAUAUAUGAUAAAUUAGAAUAAAUAAAUAAAUUUUAAAAAUAUG